UGCGAGUCAUUGUAGCAAUACAAGGCAGACGGCUCAGUAACGCGUAGUCAAUCUACCCUAUGGACGGGAAUAACCUCGGGAAACUGAGAAUAAUGCCCGACAGAACAUUAUACCUGGAACGGUUUAUGUUUCAAAUGAUUUAUCGCCGUAGGAUGGGACUGCGGCCUAUCAGUUUGUUGGUGAGGUAAUGGCCCACCAAGACUAUUACAGGUACGGGCUCUGAGAGGAGUAGCCCGGAGAUGGGUACUGAGACACGGACCCAGGCCCUAUGGGGCGCAGCAGGCGAGAAAACUUUGCAAUGUGCGAAAGCACGACAAGGUUAAUCCGAGUGGUUUCUGCUAAAGAAACCUUUUGCUAGUCCUAGAAACACUAGUGAAUAAGGGGUGGGCAAGUUCUGGUGUCAGCCGCCGCGGUAAAACCAGCACCUCAAGUGGUCAGGAUGAUUAUUGGGCCUAAAGCAUCCGUAGCUCGUUUCGUAAGUUUUCGGUUAAAUCCAUACGCUUAACGUAUGGGCUGCCGGGAAUACUGCAUAACUAGGAAGUGGGAGAGGUAGACGGUACUCGGUAGGAAGGGGUAAAAUCCUUUGAUCUAUUGAUGACCACCUGUGGCGAAGGCGGUCUACCAGAACACGUUCGACGGUGAGGGAUGAAAGCUGGGGGAGCGAACCGGAUUAGAUACCCGGGUAGUCCCAGCUGUAAACUAUGCAAACUCAGUGAUGCAUUGGCUUGUGGCCAAUGCAGUGCUGCAGGGAAGCCGUUAAGUUUGCCGCCUGGGAAGUACGUACGCAAGUAUGAAACUUAAAGGAAUUGGCGGGGGAGCACCACAAGGGGUGAAGCCUGCGGU
rnacentral:rRNA from 1 species